rnacentral:rRNA from 1 species
UAUGCGGAUGCUUAUACUGCAGUCGAGCGGUAGUUCUUCUUCGCUGUGAGAGACGCGUCGGGUGUGAAUAUGUCGUAAACUACCUUUAUCUGGGGAAUAGCCUUUCGAAAGUAAGAUUAAUCCCCCUUAAUAUAAUGAUUGGUAUCAGUUAUUAUUGAAAACUCGGGUGGAUAGAGAUGGGCACGUGCGAUAUUAGAUAGUUGGUGAGGUACCGCCUCACCAGGUCUGUGAUCUUUAGGGGCCUGAGAGGGAGAUCCCCCACACUGGCUCUGAGACAGGCACCAACCUUCAAAGAGAGGGAGGAGUGGGGAUUUGUGGACAAUGGGUGAGAGCCUGAUCCAGCCAUGCCGCGUGAAGGAAGACGGUCCUAUGGGUUGUAAACUUUUUUUGUAGAGAAAAAAUGCUGCUCUCUAAUACCUAGCUGAAGGGACUGUACGAAGAUAAACCGGGUCAAUCCACGCCCGAACACCCGGGGAUACAAAAGGGGGGGCGAGCUUUCUGCAUUUAUUGUGUUUAAAGAAGAGCGCACGGGGGAGUUUUGUGACAGUGACGAAAUCUCCCCGCGCUCCUCCUGAAAACCCUUGAUACACAGCGAGUUGAGAAUCUGGAAGAUGGGUGGAAUAUUCCUCGUGUGGUGUAAUGGGAGAAAAAAA